AAUGAAGUUGAAAUGCAAGAAGUUAAAAACGAUGCUGCCUGUUCAUCAGGGAUAGCUGAAAAUGAUUCGGGAGUUGAAGAAACGAAGAAUGAUACAGAGACCAAAACUGAAGCUAUCCCAAAUGAAAAUGAAAUUGCCGAUAAAUUGAAAUCAGGGGUCAUCAUUUUAGAAGACUGAUACCAUACAAAUAACAAUCUCAUUACAUCUUUCAUGAUUCUGUUGCUGUAACAUUUAUUUUUACAGGCCUUAGCAAAAGGUGACUCAAUUUGCUGCAACUCUCCAAUAUCCAUAGAUCCUUUUCUUUGGUGUUUCAUGUAGAUUGCAUUUUCAACUUUGAAAGCAUGAGACAAAUUUAUGCGGAGUUACGAAACU
rnacentral:misc_RNA from 1 species